rnacentral:rRNA from 1 species
AUUGAACGCUGGCGGCAGGCCUAACACAUGCAAGUCGAACGAGUGGCGGACGGGUGAGUAAUGUCUGGGAAACUGCCCGAUGGAGGGGGAUCACUACUGGAAACGGUAGCUAAUACCGCAUACCAUCGGAUUUGCCCAGAUGGGAUUGGCUAGUGGGUGGGGUAACGGCUCACCUAGGCGACGAUCCCUAGCUGGUCUGAGAGGUUGACGGGCAAAACGGGAACUGGAACACGGUCCAGACUCCUACGGAGGGCAGAAGUGGGGAAUAUUGCACAAUGGGGGCAAGCCGAAUGCAGCAAUGCCGCGUGUAUGAAGAAGGCCUUCGGGUUGUAAAGUACGUUAAGCGAGGAGGCGUUACUCGCAGAAGAAGCACCGGCUAACUCCGUGCCAGCAGCCGCGGUAAUAC